AGACCCGAAACCCGGUGAUCUAGCCAUGGGCAGGUUGAAGGUUGGGUAACACUAACUGGAGGACCGAACCGACUAAUGUUGAAAAAUUAGCGGAUGACCUGUGGCUGGGGGUGAAAGGCCAAUCAAACCGGGAGAUAGCUGGUUCUCCCCGAAAGCUAUUUAGGUAGCGCCUCGUGAAUUCAUCUCCGGGGGUAGAGCACUGUUUCGGCUAGGGGGCCAUCCCGGCUUACCAACCCGAUGCAAACUGCGAAUACCGGAGAAUGUUAUCACGGGAGACACACGGCGGGUGCUAACGUCCGUCGUGAAGAGGGAAACAACCCAGACCGCCAGCUAAGGUCCCAAAGUCAUGGUUAAGUGGGAAACGAUGUGGGAAGGCCCAGACAGCCAGGAUGUUGGCUUAGAAGCAGCCAUCAUUUAAAGAAAGCGUAAUAGCUCACUGGUCGAGUCGGCCUGCGCGGAAGAUGUAACGGGGCUAAACCAUGCACCGAAGCUGCGGCAGCGACGCUGAUGCGUUGUUGGGUAGGGGAGCGUUCUGUAAGCCUGCGAAGGUGUGUCGUGAGGCAUGCUGGAGGUAUCAGAAGUGCGAAUGCUGACAUAAGUAACGAUAAAGCGGGUGAAAAGCCCGCUCGCCGGAAGACCAAGGGUUCCUGUCCAACGUUAAUCGGGGCAGGGUGAGUCGACCCCUAAGGCGAGGCCGAAAGGCGUAGUCGAUGGGAAACGGGUUAAUAUUCCCGUACUUGGUGUUACUGCGAAGGGGGGACGGAGAAGGCUAUGUUGGCCGGGCGACGGUUGUCCCGGUUUAAGCGUGUAGGUGUGUGUUCCAGGUAAAUCCGGUUCACUUUAACACUGAGGCGUGAUGACGAGGCACUACGGUGCUGAAGCAACAAAUGCCCUGCUUCCAGGAAAAGCCUCUAAGCAUCAGGUAACAUCAAAUCGUACCCCAAACCGACACAGGUGGUCAGGUAGAGAAUACCAAGGCGCUUGAGAGAACUCGGGUGAAGGAACUAGGCAAAAUGGUGCCGUAACUUCGGGAGAAGGCACGCUGACACGUAGGUGAAGUGAUUUACUCAUGGAGCUGAAGUCAGUCGAAGAUACCAGCUGGCUGCAACUGUUUAUUAAAAACACAGCACUGUGCAAACACGAAAGUGGACGUAUACGGUGUGACGCCUGCCCGGUGCCGGAAGGUUAAUUGAUGGGGUCAGCGCAAGCGAAGCUCCUGAUCGAAGCCCCGGUAAACGGCGGCCGUAACUAUAACGGUCCUAAGGUAGCGAAAUUCCUUGUCGGGUAAGUUCCGACCUGCACGAAUGGCGUAAUGAUGGCCAGGCUGUCUCCACCCGAGACUCAGUGAAAUUGAACUCGCUGUGAAGAUGCAGUGUACCCGCGGCAAGACGGAAAGACCCCGUGAACCUUUACUAUAGCUUGACACUGAACAUUGAGCCUUGAUGUGUAGGAUAGGUGGGAGGCUUUGAAGUGUGGACGCCAGUCUGCAUGGAGCCGGCCUUGAAAUACCACCCUUUAAUGUUUGAUGUUCUAACGUGGACCCGUGAUCCGGGUUGCGGACAGUGUCUGGUGGGUAGUUUGACUGGGGCGGUCUCCUCCUAAAGAGUAACGGAGGAGCACGAAGGUUGGCUAAUCCUGGUCGGACAUCAGGAGGUUAGUGCAAUGGCAUAAGCCAGCUUGACUGCGAGCGUGACGGCGCGAGCAGGUGCGAAAGCAGGUCAUAGUGAUCCGGUGGUUCUGAAUGGAAGGGCCAUCGCUCAACGGAUAAAAGGUACUCCGGGGAUAACAGGCUGAUACCGCCCAAGAGUUCAUAUCGACGGCGGUGUUUGGCACCUCGAUGUCGGCUCAUCACAUCCUGGGGCUGAAGUAGGUCCCAAGGGUAUGGCUGUUCGCCAUUUAAAGUGGUACGCGAGCUGGGUUUAGAACGUCGUGAGACAGUUCGGUCCCUAUCUGCCGUGGGCGCUGGAGAACUGAGGGGGGCUGCUCCUAGUACGAGAGGACCGGAGUGGACGCAUCACUGGUGUUCGGGUUGUCAUGCCAAUGGCACUGCCCGGUAGCUAAAUGCGGAAGAGAUAAGUGCUGAAAGCAUCUAAGCACGAAACUUGCCCCGAGAUGAGUUCUCCCUGAGACUUAGAGUCUCCUGAAGGAACGUUGAAGACGACGACGUUGAUAGGCCGGGUGUGUAAGCGCAGCGAUGCGUUGAGCUAACCGGUACUAAUGAACCGUGAGGCUUAACCUUACAACGCCGAA
rnacentral:rRNA from 4 species